rfam:Myotis davidii contig193803, whole genome shotgun sequence.
GGUGGUUCCUGGGUGACGCACACUGGAAUCGGGCUCCUUCUUCUCUGGUUCUGGGUGCGUUACCCAAGAACCUCA